rfam:Herpetosiphon aurantiacus DSM 785, complete genome.
GUUUUAAUCCCCCAGAGAGGAUUCAGGUCUUUCGAAUA